rnacentral:rRNA from 1 species
AGAGUUUGAUCCUGGCUCAGAACGAACGCUGGCGGCAGGCCUAACACAUGCAAGUCGAGCGAAACCUUCGGGUUUAGCGGCGGACGGGUGAGUAACGCGUGGGAACGUGCCCUUCUCUGCGGAAUAGCCACUGGAAACGGUGAGUAAUACCGCAUACGCCCUUCGGGGGAAAGAUUUAUCGGAGAAGGAUCGGCCCGCGUCUGAUUAGGUAGUUGGUGGGGUAAUGGCCUACCAAGCCUACGAUCAGUAGCUGGUUUUAGAGGAUGAUCAGCCACACUGGGACUGAGACACGGCCCAGACUCCUACGGGAGGCAGCAGUGGGGAAUCUUAGACAAUGGGCGCAAGCCUGAUCUAGCCAUGCCGCGUGAGUGAUGGAGGCCCUAGGGUCGUAAAGCUCUUUCGCCAGGGAUGAUAAUGACAGUACCUGGUAAAGAAACCCCGGCUAACUCCGUGCCAGCAGCCGCGGUAAUACGGAGGGGGUUAGCGUUGUUCGGAAUUACUGGGCGUAAAGCGCGCGUAGGCGGACCAGAAAGUUGGGGGUGAAAUCCCGGGGCUCAACCCCGGAACGGCCUCCAAAACUCCUGGUCUUGAGUUCGAGAGAGGUGAGUGGAAUUCCGAGUGUAGAGGUGAAAUUCGUAGAUAUUCGGAGGAACACCAGUGGCGAAGGCGGCUCACUGGCUCGAUACUGACGCUGAGGUGCGAAAGUGUGGGGAGCAAACAGGAUUAGAUACCCUGGUAGUCCACACCGUAAACGAUGAAUGCCAGUCGUCGGGUAGCAUGCUGCUCGGUGACACACCUAACGGAUUAAGCAUUCCGCCUGGGGAGUACGGUCGCAGAUUAAAACUCAAAGGAAUUGACGG